rnacentral:ncRNA from 2 species
UCCGUCCCGUCAGGAGAGAGUCCGCGCCCCUCAGGGCCGGGCCGCCGAAGGCGCAGGCAGCAGCCGAACGCUCAGGCAAAAGGACUGGCGACA